GUACCCGUAGCUCAGCUGGAUAGAGCGUUUGUUUGCGGUACAAGAGGUCGGAGGUUCGAAUCCCCCCGGGUACACCA
rnacentral:tRNA from 1 species